CACCCACCCAGUGCUGGGGACCUGAGACCUGGUCCACGUGGGAUGGGGCGGCUGCAGGCCGGAGACUUCCCUGUUUUGAGGUAGUCAUAUGACUAAUAAAUGUGAUGAGGAAAUAGAGAAUUUAAAACAUCUUAAAUAUUCAGCUAAGUUCCUCCCUGAAUAUGUCACCAGACCAAGCUGCUGAUCUGCCAGUAGUACAGGUUUCCACCAGUACAAGUAUUCUACCCAGUAAGGGAGACAUUUUCUGGGUGGCAUAAGUAGCAGCAGAGAAGACACUGGAAGAAGAGGCCUGGCCUCAUGUGGGUGAAGCUAUGGAGUCCUGAAGGGAGGUGGCUUCCAUGGAUCCUCACCAGUCACCUACAGCUGUAGGAAACAGGAAUCUAGCUACCAAGGUGCAGUGAAAUGGGAACAUGACAGCCAAGACUGUGGAACGAGGCCUACGUCUGGUUGCUACUGUCCAAUGAAAUGAGAGCAAGGAACAUUCAUGUAUAAAUCUAGGACAGUUUUGCAGUCUGGCCUUGUAGGUUUGUGUAUGAAUGCCCAGGAUUGAAAGUGUUGAGACCAGGAGUGAGAUGAUUUGAUUAGAAAAUGGACUCCUUCAGUGUUCAACAAGAAAUGUGCUUAUUACCUUACUCAUAUAA